rnacentral:rRNA from 1 species
UACGUAGGGCGCAAGCGUUGUCCGGAAUUAUUGGGCGUAAAGAGCUCGUAGGCGGCCUGUUGCGUCCGCUGUGAAAUCCCGGGGCUCAACCCCGAACUUGCAGUGGGUACGGGCAGACUAGAGUGUGGUAGGGGAGACUGGAAUUCCUGGUGUAGCGGUGAAAUGCGCAGAUAUCAGGAGGAACACCGAUGGCGAAGGCAGGUCUCUGGGCCGACUACUGACGCUGAGAAGCGAAAGCAUGGGGAGCGAACAGG